rnacentral:rRNA from 1 species
CCCUUAGAUGUCCUGGGCCGCACGCGCGCUACACUGAUGCAUUCAACGAGUUUCACCUUGGCCGAGAGGCCUGGGCAAUCUUUUAAACCUGCAUCGUGAUAGGGAUAGAUUAUUGCAAUUGUUAAUCUUGAACGAGGAAUUCCUAGUAAACGCAAAUCAUCAAUUUGCAUUGAUUACGUCCCUGCCCUUUGUACACACCGCCCGUCGCACCUACCGAUUGAAUGGUCCGGUGAAGCCUCGGGAUUGUGGCCAGUUCACUUUAUUGGGAGUCGGCUGUGAGAACUUGUCUAAACCUUAUCAUUUAGAGGAAGGUGAAGUCGUAACA